CUCUCGGCAGCCCUGAGCCUGGAUAUGAUAUCCGGUACCGUACAUAGCAUUUCAAACCUUUGUCCAAGCACAGGUACAUUCAGUAAGAAUGCCAUUUUAUCUGUUCCGUAUGGUAGUACAUUUUCAGAGGGCAAUGUAAACAGCUCUUAUUUAGCAAUAAAGACAGGUGCUUUGAGCUGACCUGCCUGAAAAGUCUCAAGUAAACAUGGAUCAUGAAUUCUUCUUGGUAGUUGGCACAACACUACAAUGAACUCCAGAUGGUAUCUGGUCUGCCUCAGUUCCAUAUAAACACACAACUUGACCAGGGCCGUAGCUAGACCAAAAAUGCGGGGGGAGGAUAUUCAUAUAUUCGUGUUCUGCGCCUGAUAGAUUUCUUUUGAAAAUGAUUGUUUUUACGGUAUGUGAACAUGACUCAUUUACUAUUACACCAUAUUAGGGUCUGUAUAGUACUUAGCAUAUUGGGAUAUUUUUUCAGGGCAAUCAGGGGUACACUAUAAUUUUUGAGCUUGGAAUU